rnacentral:rRNA from 1 species
GGGGGCACCCUGAUCCAGCCAUGCCGCGUGCGGGAAGAAGGCCUUCGGGUUGUAAACCGCUUUUAGUCGGGAAGAAAAGGCGCGGGCUAAUACUCCGUGUUCUUGACGGUACCGGCGGAAUAAGCACCGGCUAACUACGUGCCAGCAGCCGCGGUAAUACGUAGGGUGCGAGCGUUAAUCGGAAUUACUGGGCGUAAAGCGUGCGCAGGCGGUUCGUUAAGUCAGAUGUGAAAGCCCCGGGCUCAACCUGGGAACGGCAUUUGAGACUGGCGGGCUGGAGUUGGGCAGAGGGA